CCCGCACAAGCAGCGGAGCAUGUGGUUUAAUUCGAUGAUACGCGAAGAACCUUACCGGGGUUUGACAUGCAGGUGAUCGCCGUUGAAAGACGGUUUCCUCUUCGGAGGCACCUGCACAGGUGCUGCAUGGCUGUCGUCAGCUCGUGUCAUGAGAUGUUGGGUUAAGUCCCGCAACGAGCGCAACCCCUACGUUUAGUUGCUAACGCGUGAAGGCGAGCACUCUAGACGAACUGCCGUUGACAAAACGGAGGAAGGUGGGAUGACGUCAAAUCAUCAUGCCCCUUAUGUUCUGGGCUACACACGUGCUACAAUGGCCGGUACAGACGGACGCAAAGCCGCGAGGCGGAGCAAAUCCGAAAAAGCCGGUCUCAGUUCGGAUUGCAGGCUGCAAUUCGCCUGCAUGAAGUCGGAAUCGCUAGUAAUCGCAGGUCAGCAUACUGCGGUGAAUACGUUCCCGGGCCUU
rnacentral:rRNA from 1 species